rnacentral:rRNA from 1 species
GCAAGUCGAGGGGUAACAGAGGUAGCUUGCAACUUGCUGACGACCGGCGCCCGGGUGCGUAACGCGUAAAGAAUCUACCUUUUGCUAGGGAUAGCCUUUGGAAACGAAGAUUAAUACCUCAUAGUAUGUAAAGCACUCCUGGGUUUAACAUUAAAGGUUACGGCAAAAGAUGACUAUGCGUCCUAUUAGCUAGAUGGUAAGGUAACGGCUUACCAUGGCACCGAUAGGUAGGGGCCCUGAGAGGGGGAUC